rnacentral:rRNA from 1 species
GACGAACGCUGGCGGCGUGCCUAAUACAUGCAAGUCGAGCGGACUUGACGGAAGCUUGCUUCCGUUCAAGUUAGCGGCGGACGGGUGAGUAACACGUGGGUAACCUGCCUGUAAGACUGGGAUAACUCCGGGAAACCGGGGCUAAUACCGGAUAUUCUUUUUCUUCGCAUGAAGAAGAAUGGAAAGGCGGCUUUUAGCUGUCGCUUACAGAUGGACCCGCGGCGCAUUAGCUAGUUGGUGAGGUAACGGCUCACCAAGGCAACGAUGCGUAGCCGACCUGAGAGGGUGAUCGGCCACACUGGGACUGAGACACGGCCCAGACUCC